rnacentral:rRNA from 1 species
GGAGUUUGAUCCUGGCUCACAACCAACGCUGGCGGCGUGCUUAACACAUGCAAGUCGAAGGAGAAAGUGCAUGUACCCAUGAGUGAAGUGGCUACCGGGUGAGUAGGUGCGUCUAACCUACCUCUCUGCCCUCAAUAACUCCGAUAAAACCGGGGCUAAUACCCUAAUACAUCAUGACAUUCCCAAGAAAUGCGCUUGGAGAGGGGGUCGCGGCUGGUUAUCUGAUUGGGAGGCUAACGGCCCACCAAUGCGAAGAUCGGUAUCCGGCCUGAGAGGGCGCGCGGGCACACCGGAACUGAAAGAUGGUCCAGACUCCUACUGGUGGCCGCCUUGGGGAAUUUUGCCCAAUGGGGGAAACCCUGAAUUUUCAACGCCGCGUGGAGGAUGAAGCCCCUUGGGGCGUAAACUCCUUUCCGGAAUUCGAUUCUGACACUACUGGUGGAAGAAAAAGCGGGUGACUCUGUGCCAGCAGCCGGGGUCUUACAGAGGCUGCGAAGGUUGCCCCGGAUUACUGUGCGUAAAGGGCCCCUAGGCGGUGCCACGGGUCAGCGUUGAAAUCAACUGGCUGAACUCAGAGCCUGCAAGCCAAACUGGGAUGCUGGAGUAUGGGACCUUGCGUGGCAUUCCCGGUGCGAUGGAUACUGCUGUUCAUGAGGAGUGCAACACCUAUGGCAAAUCCCGGCAAUGGACCAUAUGUGACGCUGAGGCGAGAAASCUWGGGGASCAAASMAGAUUMKYUACCCUGKUYSUSCMUSYCAUAAACGAUGAUUGGGGRGUGKARCAGGUACWCMAUCCUGCUUUGCCSWCAGGUAACUCACUAAGUGAUCAGUCUGCGGAGUGAGGCCGCUAGCUUGACACUCAAUGAAAUGAACGGGGGCCGGCCCACGCGAUCGAUCGAGCGGUUCAAUUAGAUGCAGAGCGAGGAACGUUCCUUACGCGGGCCAUACGGGCAGUAGAAACGGGAAACGGUGUCCCCUUGCUAAGUCAGGAACCUGCACAGGUGGUGCAUGGCUGUCGUCAGCUCGUGUCGUGAGGUGUUGGGUUAAGUCCCGCAACGAGCGCAACCCUCAUUCUAUGUUGCCAUCGGGUCAAGCCGGGCACUCUUAGGGAACUGCCGGGGAAGAGGUGGUGGAAGGGGAGGAUGACGUCAAGUCCUUAUGCCCUUUAUGUCCAGGGCUACACACGUGCUACAAUGGUCGAUACAGAGGGUUCCCAACCCGCAAGGGGAGGCAAUCCCACAAAGUCGGUCUCAGUUCGGAUUGCAGUCUGCAACUCGCCUGCAUGAAGUCGGAAUCGCUAGUAAUCGCAGAUCAGCAGGCUGCGGUGAAUACGUUCCCGGGCCUUGUACACACCGCCCGUCACAUCACGAAAGCCGGUUGUACCAGAAGCAGGUGAGCCAACCGCAAGGAGGCAGCCGCCCAAGGUAUAGUUCGUGAUUGGGGUGAAGUCGUAACAAGGUAACC